UACGAAGGGGGCUAGCGUUGUUCGGAAUUACUGGGCGUAAAGCGCGCGCAGGUGGUCUUUCAAGUCAGUGGUGAAAGCCCGGAGCUCAACUCCGGAAAUGCCAUUGAAACUGUAAGACUUGAGGAUGAGAGAGGUGAGUGGAAUUCCCAGUGUAGAGGUGAAAUUCGUAGAUAUUGGGAAGAACACCGGUGGCGAAGGCGGCUCACUGGCUCAUAUCUGACGCUCAGGCGCGACAGCGUGGGUAGCAAACAGG
rnacentral:rRNA from 1 species